ACUUUGGUUUACCGAGGUCAGUAUUUAUCCUCUGAGUUAGUAUUUCAGGGGGAAGAGGGGGCUAACAUUGAGUAGACAAAUGAUGAGGUUCCAUUCAUUUUCAACUUUAUUAUUGUUACAUUUUCUUUUAGCGGGACAUAGCACAGAUCCGGAAAUGGUGGUGCAUUAUGCUCAUGGAACGGUACCAGAUUGAAGGGUAAAUCAUACAUUUUAAAUGUUACUUUAUAGACAACAGUUUCUUUGACACUGAUUUACAUUUUCAUCCUGAUAUUAUGUGAUUUUUAUAGCCACGGACAGAGGUUUUCUUACUGGACCAAUGAGGCCGAAGAGCUGCUCAAAGGGGCACUGGAGCCAGUGUACAGGGUCUCAAAGAAGCAAAAGACAGAACAUGAGGUCAAUAGGCACACUCCUGUUUGUGAUAAAGAAAUGUCCAGUUUCAAAAGUCCGACAUGUGCUUCAUAUUGGAGCUGCCAAACUGUCUUCUCUCGGA